GACGAACGCUGGCGGCGUGCCUAAUACAUGCAAGUCGAGCGAACAGACUAGGGGUUUCUUCAGCACACGAUAGGGGAAGGCGUGUGAGACACACGUGGGUUAUCCACUUAACUGCCGGGGAAAACUGCGGGACUGCGGCUAAUAUACGGGAUAAUCGAUCGUUGGGGUUUGUGGUGUAAAGGAUGUUCUGGUGUGUGUUGAUCUCGCGCCGCAUCACCUAGUUGGUGCGGUAACGGCUUACAAAGGCAACGAUGGGUAGCCGACCUGAGAGGGUGUGCGGGCACACGGGAACUGAGACACGGUCCAGACUCCUACGGGAGGCAGCAGUAGCGAAUCUUCCGCAAUGGGCGAAAGCUUGACGGAGCAACGCCGCGUGAGUGAUGAAGGUCUUCGGAUCGUAAAACUCUGUCAGUAGGGAAGAACAAAUGUGUAAGUAACUAUGCACGUCUUGACGGUACCUAAUCAGAAAGCCACGGCUAACUACGUG
rnacentral:rRNA from 1 species